GCUUUUUUCAGAAUGGCUGUAUUUGACUGCUAUUACCCUAUAUUAUAAUUGUAAAUAAUUGUUACCUUUGAUGUUUUUUAUUCCCAUGCUGGCUACCUGAUAAAAUCGAUAUUUAAAUAUUGAUCUUAUCCUUCUGUGUGUGUAUGUAUAUAUAUAUAUAUAUAUAU